GUCCGACUAAAUGUCAAGCAACUUUAUUUUGUGAAAUAGAUACGUUACGGAUACGUGUAGCUAUUUCGAUUCGUUGCAGUCAUGCUGUCAAAAACGGUAUAAAAUGGAAGGACCAAACCCGAUGAUAUCUUCGUUUUAAAUCAAUCAACAUGAAACUGAUUCUGCUCACUGCUGUGCUAGCUAUCUGGGCAUCGGGAUGCAAUGCUGCUCUUAAUACUAUUCCUGAAGAGAAGUGGGAAGAGCUACCACCACUACCAGUAGAUUAAAAACUAAAAUUGGUUUAGAAAUAUUCAAAUAUACAAUCAUAAUGCAGAAAUAA